rnacentral:rRNA from 1 species
GUGGGGAAUAUUGGACAAUGGGCGCAAGCCUGAUCCAGCCAUGCCGCGUGUGUGAAGAAGGCCUUCGGGUUGUAAAGCACUUUUGUUGGGAAAGAAAUCCUGUCGGCUAAUACCCGGCGGGGAUGACGGUACCCAAAGAAUAAGCACCGGCUAACUUCGUGCCAGCAGCCGCGGUAAUACGAAGGGUGCAAGCGUUACUCGGAAUUACUGGGCGUAAAGCGUGCGUAGGUGGUUCGUUAAGUCAGAUGUGAAAGCCCCGGGCGCAACCUGGGAAUUGCAUUUGAUACUGGCGGACUAGAGUGCGGUAGAGGAGAGUGGAAUUCCCGGUGUAGCAGUGAAAUGCGUAGAGAUCGGGAGGAACAUCAGUUGCGAAGGCGGCUCUCUGGACCAGCACUGACACUGAGGCACGAAAGCGUGGGGAGCAAACAGGAUUAGAUACCCUUGUAGUCC